GGCGAACGCUGGCGGCGUGCUUAACACAUGCAAGUCGUACGGUAAGGCCCUUUCGGGGGUACACGAGUGGCGAACGGGUGAGUAACACGUGAGUAACCUGCCCACAACUUUGGGAUAACGCUAGGAAACUGGUGCUAAUACUGGAUAUGUGCUCCUGCUGCAUGGUGGGGGUUGGAAAGCUCCGGCGGUUGUGGAUGGACUCGCGGCCUAUCAGCUUGUUGGUGGGGUAGUGGCCUACCAAGGCGGCGACGGGUAGCCGGCCUGAGAGGGUGACCGGCCACAUUGGGACUGAGAUACGGCCCAGACUCCUACGGGAGGCAGCGGUGGGGAAUAUUGCACAAUGGGCGCAAGCCUGAUGCAGCAACGCCGCGUGCGGGAGGACGGCCUUCGGGUUGUAAACCGCGUUCAGCAGGGACGAAGCUUUUUGUGACGGUACCUGCAGAAGAAGCACCGGCUAACUACGUG
rnacentral:rRNA from 1 species